UGGGGUCAGCUCAGUGGUAGAGCACGUGCCCAGCUUGCAUGAGGCCCUGGGUUCCACCCCCAGCAUUUUAA
rnacentral:tRNA from 1 species